rnacentral:rRNA from 1 species
GAUGAACGCUAGCUACAGGCUUAACACAUGCAAGUCGAGGGGAAACGGCAUUAAGUGCUUGCACUUUUUGGACGUCGACCGGCGCACGGGUGAGUAACGCGUAUCCAACCUUCCCAUGACUAAGGGAUAACCUGCCGAAAGGCAGACUAAUACCUUAUGGUCUUCACUGACGGCAUCAGAUGUGAAGUAAAGAUUUACCGGUUAUGGAUGGGGAUGCGUCUGAUUAGCUUGUUGGCGGGGUAACGGCCCACCAAGGCAACGAUCAGUAGGGGUUCUGAGAGGAAGGUCCCCCACAUUGGAACUGAGACACGGUCCAAACUCCUACGGGAGGCAGCAGUGAGGAAUAUUGGUCAAUGGGCGAGAGCCUGAACCAGCCAAGUAGCGUGCAGGAUGACGGCCCUAUGGGUUGUAAACUGCUUUUGUAUGGGGAUAAAGUCAAUCACGUGUGAUUGUUUGCAGGUACCAUACGAAUAAGGACCGGCUAAUUCCGUG